GACGAACGCUGGCGGCGUGCUUAACACAUGCAAGUCGAACGGAAAGGCCCUGCUUUUGUGGGGUGCUCGAGUGGCGAACGGGUGAGUAACGCGUGAGUAACCUGCCCUUGACUUUGGGAUAACUUCAGGAAACUGGGGCUAAUACCGGAUAGGAGCUCCUGCUGCAUGGUGGGGGUUGGAAAGUUUCGGCGGUUGGGGAUGGACUCGCGGCUUAUCAGCUUGUUGGUGGGGUAGUGGCUUACCAAGGCUUUGACGGGUAGCCGGCCUGAGAGGGUGACCGGCCACAUUGGGACUGAGAUACGGCCCAGACUCCUACGGGAGGCAGCAGUGGGGAAUAUUGCACAAUGGGCGGAAGCCUGAUGCAGCAACGCCGCGUGCGGGAUGACGGCCUUCGGGUUGUAAACCGCUUUCGCCUGUGACGAAGCGUGAGUGACGGUAAUGGGUAAAGAAGCACCGGCUAACUACGUGCCAGCAGCCGCGGUGAUACGUAGGGUGCGAGCGUUGUCCGGAUUUAUUGGGCGUAAAGGGCUCGUAGGUGGUUGAUCGCGUCGGAAGUGUAAUCUUGGGGCUUAACCCUGAGCGUGCUUUCGAUACGGGUUGACUUGAGGAAGGUAGGGGAGAAUGGAAUUCCUGGUGGAGCGGUGGAAUGCGCAGAUAUCAGGAGGAACACCAGUGGCGAAGGCGGUUCUCUGGGCCUUUCCUGACGCUGAGGAGCGAAAGCGUGGGGAGCGAACAGGCUUAGAUACCCUGGUAGUCCACGCUGUAAACGGUGGGUACUAGGUGUGGGGUCCAUUCCACGGGUUCCGUGCCGUAGCUAACGCUUUAAGUACCCCGCCUGGGGAGUACGGCCGCAAGGCUAAAACUCAAAGGAAUUGACGGGGCCCCGCACAAGCGGCGGAGCAUGCGGAUUAAUUCGAUGCAACGCGUAGAACCUUACCUGGGUUUGACAUGGAUCGGGAGCGCUCAGAGAUGGGUGUGCCUCUUUUGGGGUCGGUUCACAGGUGGUGCAUGGCUGUCGUCAGCUCGUGUCGUGAGAUGUUGGGUUAAGUCCCGCAACGAGCGCAACCCUUGUUCACUGUUGCCAGCACGUUAUGGUGGGGACUCAGUGGAGACCGCCGGGGUCAACUCGGAGGAAGGUGGGGAUGACGUCAAGUCAUCAUGCCCCUUAUGUCCAGGGCUUCACGCAUGCUACAAUGGCUGGUACAGAGAGUGGCGAGCCUGUGAGGGUGAGCGAAUCUCGGAAAGCCGGUCUCAGUUCGGAUUGGGGUCUGCAACUCGACCUCAUGAAGUCGGAGUCGCUAGUAAUCGCAGAUCAGCAACGCUGCGGUGAAUACGUUCCCGGG
rnacentral:rRNA from 1 species